rnacentral:rRNA from 1 species
GAUGAACGCUGGCGGCGUGCCUAAUACAUGCAAGUCGAGCGAACAGACGAGGAGCUUGCUCCUCUGACGUUAGCGGCGGACGGGUGAGUAACACGUGGAUAACCUACCUAUAAGACUGGGAUAACUUCGGGAAACCGGAGCUAAUACCGGAUAAUAUAUUAAACCGCAUGGUUCAAUAGUGAAAGACGGUUUUGCUGUCACUUAUAGAUGGAUCCGCGCCGCAUUAGCUAGUUGGUAAGGUAACGGCUUACCAAGGCAACGAUGCGUAGCCGACCUGAGAGGGUGAUCGGCCACACUGGAACUGAGACACGGUCCAGACUCCUACGGGAGGCAGCAGUAGGGAAUAUUCCACAAUGGGCGAAAGCCUGACGGAGCAACGCCGCGUGAGUGAUGAAGGUCUUCGGAUCGUAAAACUCUGUUAUUAGGGAAGAACAAAUGUGUAAGUAACUAUGCACGUCUUGACGGUACCUAAUCAGAAAGCCACGGCUAACUACGUG